rnacentral:lncRNA from 1 species
UUAUAGUUUAUGAUAGAUACACUUCUUAUUUGUAAGCUCUUGAAGUUAUCCAGACAGAACGUUUUGAUAAUCAAGUAAUUUGCAGGGUAGUUGCGAUGCAAAUUGAGGGUGAUGAAAAACUAGAUUUUUUUUUCAACUUCUACAGGUAUUACCCAUUGAUUUUUUGUCUCAACUUUUACAAGCUUAUGAUUGUACAAAUCAUGAAUUAGAAGUUGGAGGGUGCAACACUUUAAUCCCACAAAUAUUUUCUUACGUAUGUUUCCUUACUUGGUUGUGGAAUUCCAUAUAAAAAAUUCUUGUUUUUUAUCUGCUAAGAGGCAUUGUUGUACUUUGUUGGUCCACCAAGGGUUAGGAAGAUAUUUUUGGCUUCAUCAAUUUCAGUUACUCUGGGCAGAAAGUUUGUAUGCAUCUUCCUUGGUGGUGUCAAGGAUGAGACUGAUAUUAGAGGUCAUCGGAGAACUUACAUUAGAAGCAUGCUCUCAUGCCCAAUUGAUGGGUUAAAGGUGCAGAGUGAACCUUCUACUAGCCUGAUGUCGCUUUUAGUAUUUAUUGCGACUUAUAUGUGCUGGUUGUCUAACCAAUGGACCUGGAUUCACAUAUUUAUAUAUGAUUCUAUUGUCAAAGAAUUACCUCUUCCAUUUUCAUUUCAAUUGUUGUUGGAUCGCUUGUUCGCCUUAAUGAAAUAAAUUAUUAUUAAGAUUUGCAAUGUAGGAAUAUUUUUUAAGUUGUGAUUGUCUAUUAUAAAGACAUUAAGAUAUGUUAUAUGCUCUCACGAACUAUGUUUUACAAACUGAAAUUUUUCUUUCCAACAUCUGCAGUGAUUCUCAAGUUGCAACUUAUUUUUAUCCAUUGACUGAUUGUCUCAAGUUUUACAAGAUUAUAAUUGUACAAAGCAUGAAACUAAGAAGCUGGAGGGCGCGACUGCAGAAACAUUUGAUACUACAGAAGCUCUAAAAGUUUUCAUAUUCAUAAC